UACGGGGGGGGCAAGCGUUGUUCGGAAUUACUGGGCGUAAAGGGCUCGUAGGCGGCCAACUAAGUCGGAUCUGAAAUCCCCAGGCUCAACUUGGGAACUGCAUCCGAUACUGGAUGGCUUGAAUUCGGGAGAGGGAUGCAGAAUUCCAGGUGUAGCGGUGAAAUGCGUAGAUAUCUGGAGGAAUACCGGUGGCGAAGGCGGCAUCCUGGACCGACAUUGACGCUGAGGAGCGAAAGCUAGGGGAGCAAACGGG
rnacentral:rRNA from 1 species